UCGGAGAAGGCUAGGCCAGCUUGGCGUUGGUUGUCCAAGUUUAAGGUGGUAGGCUGAAAUCUUAGGUAAAUCCGGGGUUUCAAGGCCGAGAGCUGAUGACGAGUCGUCUUUUAGAUGACGAAGUGGUUGAUGCCAUGCUUCCAAGAAAAGCUUCUAAGCUUCAGGUAACCAGGAACCGUACCCCAAACCGACACAGGUGGUCGGGUAGAGAAUACCAAGGCGCUUGAGAGAACUCGGGUGAAGGAACUAGGCAAAAUGGCACCGUAACUUCGGGAGAAGGUGCGCCGGCUAGGGUGAAGGAUUUACUCCGUAAGCUCUGGCUGGUCGAAGAUACCAGGCCGCUGCGACUGUUUAUUAAAAACACAGCACUCUGCAAACACGAAAGUGGACGUAUAGGGUGUGACGCCUGCCCGGUGCCGGAAGGUUAAUUGAUGGGGUUAGCGCAAGCGAAGCUCUUGAUCGAAGCCCCGGUAAACGGCGGCCGUAACAGUAACGGUCCUAAGGUAGCGAAAUUCCUUGUCGGGUAAGUUCCGACCUGCACGAAUGACGUAACGAUGGCGGCGCUGUCUCCACCCGAGACUCAGUGAAAUUGAAAUCGCUGUGAAGAUGCAGUGUAUCCGCGGCUAGACGGAAAGACCCCGUGAACCUUUACUGUAGCUUUGCACUGGACUUUGAGCCUGCUUGUGUAGGAUAGGUGGGAGGCUUUGAAGCGUGGACGCCAGUUCGCGUGGAGCCAUCCUUGAAAUACCACCCUGGCAUGCUUGAGGUUCUAACUCUGGUCCGUAAUCCGGAUCGAGGACAGUGUAUGGUGGGCAGUUUGACUGGGGCGGUCUCCUCCUAAAGAGUAACGGAGGAGUACGAAGGUGCGCUCAGACCGGUCGGAAAUCGGUCGCAGAGUAUAAAGGCAAAAGCGCGCUUGACUGCGAGACAGACACGUCGAGCAGGUACGAAAGUAGGUCUUAGUGAUCCGGUGGUUCUGUAUGGAAGGGCCAUCGCUCAACGGAUAAAAGGUACUCCGGGGAUAACAGGCUGAUACCGCCCAAGAGUUCAUAUCGACGGCGGUGUUUGGCACCUCGAUGUCGGCUCAUCACAUCCUGGGGCUGAAGCCGGUCCCAAGGGUAUGGCUGUUCGCCAUUUAAAGUGGUACGCGAGCUGGGUUUAGAACGUCGUGAGACAGUUCGGUCCCUAUCUGCCGUGGACGUUUGAGAUUUGAGAGGGGCUGCUCCUAGUACGAGAGGACCGGAGUGGACGAACCUCUGGUGUUCCGGUUGUCACGCCAGUGGCAUUGCCGGGUAGCUAUGUUCGGAAAAGAUAACCGCUGAAAGCAUCUAAGCGGGAAACUUGCCUCAAGAUGAGAUCUCACUGGGAACUUGAUUCCCCUGGAGGGCCGUCGAAGACUACGACGUUGAUAGGCUGGGUGUGUAAGCGUUGUGAGGCGUUGAGCUAACCA
rnacentral:rRNA from 1 species